rnacentral:rRNA from 1 species
GACGAACGCUGGCGGCGUGCUUAACACAUGCAAGUCGAACGGUGAAGCCCUUCGGGGUGGAUCAGUGGCGAACGGGUGAGUAACACGUGAGCAACCUGCCCCUGACUCUGGGAUAACUACCGGAAACGGUGGCUAAUACCGGAUAUUACUUGCCUGGGCAUCUGGGUGGGUGGAAAGUUUUUCGGUUGGGGAUGGGCUCGCGGCCUAUCAGCUUGUUGGGGGGGUGAUGGCCUACCAAGGCGACGACGGGUAGCCGGCCUGAGAGGGCGACCGGCCACACGGGGACUGAGACACGGCCCAGACUCCUACGGGAGGCAGCAGUGGGGAAUAUUGCGCAAUGGGCGAAAGCCUGACGCAGCGACGCCGCGUGGGGGAUGAAGGCCUUCGGGUUGUAAACCUCUUUCAGCAGGGAAGAAGCGUGAGUGACGGUACCUGCAGAAGAAGCACCGGCUAACUACGUGCCAGCCGCCGCCGUAA